rnacentral:rRNA from 1 species
UAGGGAAUUUUGGGCAAUGGGCGAAAGCCUGACCCAGCAACGCCGCGUGUGGGAUGAAGGCCCUCGGGUCGUAAACCACUGUCAGGAGGAAAGAAAAGUCGGCCGGAUAAUACUCGGUCGACCUGACGGUACCUCCAAAGGAAGCACCGGCUAACUCCGUGCCAGCAGCCGCGGUAAUACGGAGGGUGCAAGCGUUGUUCGGAAUUACUGGGCGUAAAGCGCGUGUAGGUGGUCGAGUAAGUCGAAUGUGAAAGCCCCGGGCUCAACCCGGGAAGUGCAUCCGAAACUGCUCGACUAGAGUCCCGGAGAGGAAGGCAGAAUUCCCAAUGUAGGGGUGAAAUCCGUAGAUAUUGGGAGGAAUACCGGUGGCGAAGGCGGCCUUCUGGACGGUGACUGACACUCAGACGCGAAAGCGUGGGGAGCAAACAGGAUUAGAUACCCUCGUAGUCCCUGAGCGGGCUGGCAAGGCGCAU